UUUGGGGGAGGAAGAGCUGGCAUCGCCCAUAGCUCCUCUCUCUGCCUACCCGCCCAGUGAUGAUUAUUGUUUAUAUUUUGGAGAAUAUCCUUACAGUGUGCAGAUUAUAUUUUUAAAACACUGGAUCAUAGUGUAUAGCCUUUUUUCUCUCAGUAUAUGGUGAACAUUUUCCCAUGUUUUCAGCAUAUUCUUUCUACCCCAGUUUUAAUGCUGGCACAGUAUUUUAUUAUAUAGAUGUUCCAUACUUUUCCAAACCCCUGUUGUUGUACAGUGAAGUUAGGUCAAAUUUUUUAUGCCAUUGUUAAUUUUUAAUCAGUUCCCUUCUAGAUAACACUUGACAGUAUCUCCAGUUAUUUCUUUCAGACACAUCAAGUGAGGAAUACAUCAUGACAUAGUGCAUAUUACCUUCAGAGAAAAGGUCAGCUAGUUUACCCCACACCUCCAGAACCAGAGCCCUUGAGGCACACAGCUUGGAGUCUCAGGUGUCCUGGAAGUUGUCAGGAGGAGGGGUUCUUCCUCCUCAUGCAUCCUCUAGGGGGAUUCCUCUAAGAGGCAUGUGCUUCUGUCUAGCUCAGGGUUUCUCAUCCUAAGCACUGUUGAUGUGUUGGGCUAGAUAACUCUUUGUUGUGAAGGGACUGUUCUGUGACUUGUAGGAGGUUUGGAAGAAUCUCCGGGGUCUACCUACUAGAAGUCCUUAAAUCAAAAAUGCCUCCGGAUUGCCAGAUAACUCCUGGAGAACAAAAUUGCCCCUGCUGAGCAGUGCACUGGUCACUACCCCUGCUCUUUCACACCACAGUGAGUCUUCUUUCUCUGUAUGGUGUGAUUCUGUUCAUUGGCAGAGGAAGAUCAUUAUGCCUUUCCUUCUCUAGGCUAAGAAGGCCAAACUAGCUGGAGCAGCUCAGCCUCAUCAGGAAAGAGCAAAUGCAUUCCUGGUUCACUAACUGCACUCUCACUCUCUAUACUGAAGAGCUGAAUACAGUUAGGUAGACUUCCAGAUGAACUUCCCUGUCUGCACUGCUAUCCAAAACUCUGGAACCACAUAGGUUCCGGUAGUGGGUAUCUAGCACUGUCCAAACUCUCUAGCCUAACUUGGGGAUGGAGAAAAUUUGGAUAGCUAUAAAGAUAUUAAGAAUAAUAGUGUGAGAACUAGGAAUAAAAAUUGAAGUAGGCAUUCUGACUAGGCAGAGUAAGGAAAUCGUGUAUAUGAGAUGUAGUUCUUCCCUGCUCAGAUUCCUGGUGUCUUGGUAAUGUGAUUACCUGGACUUUGUGUGGCACUUUUAUUGCCACAUGGUAACUGUUUUUAUUUUUAAAUGUAUUAUGCCAUACCUCAUUCCAGAAAGGAAUUAAAUUUUUAUUAUGAAAUUUUUUUUUCCAAAAAUGUGUGAGUGCGCACUCGCAUGCAUAUGUGUGAUGUAUAUAGGUUUUAAAGACAAAUAAAGCAAACAAAGAAACCCUCUGACCUUUACUCAGAGGCCUCUGAUGGCAAUCCCUGCCUGGCUACAAUCCCUUCCUUCUCCAGGGCGACCAGUACCUUGAAUUUGGUUGAACAUCAUGACAUCUUAUCCAUCCUCCUGUCUAAAACUAUUUGUGAGUUUUUAGUUUUUUGCUGUUAAAAAUAAUGCAACUCUGAAAACUUUUGUACAUGACUUAUAGUGUCACAUAAUUUUUCUAGGGUUAAGUACAGAAAGUGAAUUGCUGGGCUGUAGGGUAUGUGUUACUUCAGCUUUACUAGAUAACGCCAAAAUGUUUUCCAAAGUGAUUGUACCAUGCUGUAUACCCACGUGGUGUAUGAGUAUCAGAAUUAAAGUUUUGCAGUCUGGUGGGUGUAAAUGGCAUCUGGUUGUUUUUAAUUUCAAUGUCCAGAUUAUUAAGGAGGUUGAUCAUUUUUUCCUAUGUGAUUUGUGCUUCCUCUUCUGUGAAAUGCCUAUUAUGUCUUUUGCCCAUUUUUCUAAUUGUUUUUCAUUUCAAAUGGACGUUUAGGAGUUUUUGUUUUGUUUAUUCUGAAUAUCAGUUCUUUACCAGUUGUAUAUGUAUUGAAUUAUCUUUCAGUUUAUAGCUUGGCUUUUCACUUUAUCUUGUCUUCUGAUGAACUGAAGUUCUUUUGGCUUGUGGAAUCUCAGUUCCGUGACCAGGGAUUGAACCUGGGCUACAGCAGUGAAAGCCCAGAAUCCUGACCACUAGGCCACCAGGGAAUUCCCUGAACUGAAGUUCUUAAAUGUAGCAUACAGAGUUUUCCUUUAUGCUUUACUUUUUCUGUGUCUUUAAGAUAUCCUUUCCUAUUCUGAAGACAUAGAGAUAUUUGCUUGUAAUUCCAGAAAGGGACUUAAAGCAGAUAUGGUCCUUCAUAAG